UACGGGGGGGGCAAGCGUUGUCCGGAUUUAUUGGGCGUAAAGAGCGUGUAGGCGGCCUGGUAGGUCUGCUGUGAAAACUCGAGGCUCAACCUCGAGAUGUCGGCGGAAACCAUCUGGCUAGAGUCCGGAAGAGGAGAGUGGAAUUCCUGGUGUAGCGGUGAAAUGCGCAGAUAUCAGGAAGAACACCUAUGGCGAAGGCAGCUCUCUGGGACGGUACUGACGCUGAGACGCGAAAGCGUGGGGAGCGAACAGG
rnacentral:rRNA from 1 species